CUCCGCCCCGCGCGCGGCUGCGGGCCCGGGAGGCGUGGCCGGCAGCCUGCGCCCCUCCUCCGCCGCGUGGGUCGCGCGGCGGGGCGGGGGGAGCCUGGAGCCCGGGAGCGCGAGCCGCGGAGGAGGACGGCGGCGACAAGAUGGCGUCGCUCCCGGGACGGGACGGCGGCUUCACGGCCCGGCGUCGGGACCCGGCUGAGGCGACUCCCCGAGAGGGGCAAGCCUCCCCGGCGCGCGCCGCCCUCCGGAGACGAGCGGACGUGCGCUGCCUCCAGGGGCUCGGGCCGCGAGGGUCCGGCUAACCCCAGGCGCCGACGACAAGCCGCUGCUGGAGCGGGGUGCACUGGACACAAGAGUGACCCAUCCAUCGCACAAAACACCAAGUUCAUGCACACUCAAAGCCCCCAUGAGAGUCGUCGAGAAAAGGCAAACUGAAUUCUAUAGUUUCUUUUUUUUCUUUUAAAGACUGUUUUUAUUCUUUGACAGUUUCACGCAUGUAUACAAUGGACCUUGAUCAUAACACCCCAUUCUCCCACCAAUCUCAAACACAACCCCGUGUGAUGUAGACAGAUGGAAUGCUCUUAGGGCCUUGAUGGAUUUCCCUUAGUUUUUUUAAACCUGAUACGUUAUGCCACUUAUGUAUAAGAUUAGUGAUGAAGCAGACUAGAAAUGUUCUCUUCACGGCUGUGAAUUCAUUUUCGCUUUGAGCUGUUUUAAAAAUACAUUUUAAAGUUUUACCUUCCAAGUAGGAUUCUAAGUUUUGGGUGUGUCUUAAUUAGGUGCUCUCUUGCUGUGGUGGAACACCAGGACCAACAGCAGCUUGGGUCAGAAAGGAUUUCUUUCACUUACACUUGGGCUUUCCUUACUGAAGGGAGAUCAAGGCAAGACCUCAAACAAAGCAGGCACCUAGGGCAGGAAGGAGCUAAGGCAGUGGCUAUGGACAGUGACUGCUCAGUGGCUGGCUCAGCCUGCCUGCUUGUAUAACCCAACCACCAGCCGAGGAAGGACAACAUCCACAAAGGGCUGGGCCCUCCCACAUUCAUCAUUAAGAAAAUGCCUUACGGGCUAUUGUACAGCCUGAUCGUGUAGAGGCAUUUUCUCAUUUGAAAUCCCUUCUCUUAGAUGACUCUGGCUUGUGUCUAGUUGACAUAAAACUAGCCAGUACAGCACAGACAAAGAGCAGAGUCCUAACCAGGUGGUAUGGCGCCCGCCUUUGAUCCCAGCACUCAGGAGGCUUCUCUCUGAGUUCAAGGCCAGUUGGAUCUGACUACAGAGUAAGUUACAAGAUAGUCAGGGAUAGACAGAGAAACAACCUUAUCUUGAAAGACUAACAAAGAAGACAUGAAGAAAGAAAAGAGCAAAUUCCUGGAAUGGUUACUAUGUGAAGAGCUACUUACCAUGUUGGCCAGAAGUCCCUGCGUGCUGCAUGUCCUUGAGGCCGGAACUGCCCCUUGCUUGCCCAUCUGUACUAAUGGAGGCUGUUUGGUGUUCCUUAUGCUCCAUGUGCCGAAUGCUGGCAUCUAAAACCUCUUCUCCAGCACCCCUCUUUCCUGAAGCUAGAGAUUGGGGACAAUGCCUUGUGGAACUUCCACCCACUGCCCCUAACCUCUUAACUGUUUUAGGCUAGGAUAGAAAGAAGAGGAGAAAAGAGAAGUGUCUGACUUUGCACUGGAACCCAGGAUCCUAGUAAGGAAAUUUUUCUGAGUCAACAAGUCUCUGUCUUUUUCCCCUCAAAUAGUGAAUGGUACUGAGUGUGUUGCUGUCCUUUGAGAACCCAUGGUUCUGUUUUCCUCUGAUUCCCACAUUAAAGUGCAAAGCC
ensembl:lincRNA